rnacentral:snRNA from 1 species
AACCUCCGCCACUCGUGGCGC